rnacentral:rRNA from 1 species
UAAGCGAAUAGUGAAAGCGUGUGGCUCAACCAUAUACACAUUAUUUGAACUGCUAAGCUAGAGAAUGAGAGAGGUUAUUGGAAUUCCCUGUGUAGGAGUGAAAUCCGUAGAUAUAGGGAGGAACACCGAUGGCGUAGGCAGAUAACUGGCUCAUUUCUGACACUAAGGCACGAAAGCGUGGGUAGCAAACGGGAUUAGAUACCCCGGUAGUCCACGCCGUAAACGAUGGAUGCUA